CAGCCGCCGCGGUAAUACGUAGGGUGCAAGCGUUAUUCGGAAUUACUGGGCGUAAAGCGUGCGCAGGCGGUUCGGAAAGAAAGAUGUGAAAUCCCAGAGCUUAACUUUGGAACUGCAUUUUUAACUACCGGGCUAGAGUGUGUCAGAGGGAGGUGGAAUUCCGCGUGUAGCAGUGAAAUGCGUAGAUAUGCGGAGGAACACCGAUGGCGAAGGCAGCCUCCUGGGAUAACACUGACGCUCAUGCACGAAAGCGUGGGGAGCAAACAGGAUUAGAUACCCUGGUAGUCCACGCCCUAAACGAUGUCAACUAGCUGUUGGGGCCUUCGGGCCUUGGUAGCGCAGCUAACGCGUGAAGUUGACCGCCUGGGGAGUACGGUCGCAAGAUUAAAACUUAAAGGAAUUGGCGGG
rnacentral:rRNA from 1 species